rnacentral:rRNA from 1 species
GAUGAACGCUGGCGGCGUGCCUAAUACAUGCAAGUCGAGCGAACAGACGAGGAGCUUACUCCUCUGACGUUAGCGGCGGACGGGUGAGUAACACGUGGAUAACCUACCUAUAAGACUGGGAUAACUUCGGGAAACCGGAGCUAAUACCGGAUAACAUGUUGAACCGCAUGGUUCAACAGUGAAAGACGGUCUUGCUGUCACUUAUAGAUGGAUCCGCGUCGCAUUAGCUAGUUGGUAAGGUAACGGCUUACCAAGGCAACGAUGCGUAGCCGACCUGAGAGGGUGAUCGGCCACACUGGAACUGAGACACGGUCCAGACUCCUACGGGAGGCAGCAGUAGGGAAUCUUCCGCAAUGGGCGAAAGCCUGACGGAGCAACGCCGCGUGAGUGAAGAAGGUCUUCGGAUCGUAAAGCUCUGUUAUUAGGGAAGAACAAAUGUGUAAGUAACUAUGCACGUCUUGACGGUACCUAAUCAGAAAGCCACGGCUAACUACGUG